GAGUGUCUUUGAAUCCAUUUCAUCAUUUAGUUCCACGCUAGCAACUCGUUAGCAAAGAGCCGGCAGGACUCUCCGCAUUGUGGCACUUUCCCCAAGCACAAAGAAGUCAAUUUGUCAUCCAGUGAAGAGGUUGAACCUUUAAUUAAAGUGGAGAGCCACCACCCUAGCCACAGCUAGCUCCUCACCCCAACCACCACCGCCGCCACCACCACCACCACCGCCACCAUCGGGGCCCAAGUUAAAUGUCAGCUGAUAAAUAACGACGGUGUGAAGAGGAGCUCCCUUCACUCGGGGUAUAAAGGUCACGCACAUUAGCAGAUUUGUUUCAUGGCCCACAUUGAGAGGAGACAGAUGAGGUGGCUGGGGCAUCUGAUCUGGGUUCCUCCUGGACGCCUCCCUGUCUCCCCUCACUGUUGAACAUUUAUCACACCCGCCUCACCCGUAAGGCCACCAGAAUGGCAGGUGACCCCAUUCACCCAUCCCACUGCCUCUUCAGACUGCUGCCAACAGGGAGGAGACUGCAGAGCCUUUAGGCCAAAACUUGCAGGCUCAAGGACUGUUUCUUCCACCAGGCAGUCAGGAUGCUCAACUCCCUCUCUGCUUUGCCCAAUUACCCAUCCCUGGCACCUACCACCACACACCACCACUGACUCUAAGCCUAUAAAUUCAGCUCAUGCACAAAUCCCACUUUAAGCACUGUAAUCUGUGUACAUUACCCAACUCAUUAUUCUGCUACACUGUGUAUAAAUUAUUUUAUUUUUUAUUUUAGUAUUUUAAUGUAUUGUCCACGACACUCAACCGGGAACAUAUCUGCUCAUCAUGUCAAUACCACAGGUAUGUAUAUAUGGGAAAUGCCUUUCCUUUUGUUAACUUGGACAGAUUGAUCAUAUUGUAUGUAUUGUUUAUAAGGUUUAUAGUAUAAUGCAUAAUACAGAAUGUGUUUUAACCUGAGCAGUAGUUUUAGACAGGACAGUAUGUUUAUUUAUUCAUUUAUUUAUUGAACCGUUUUAGUUAUUUUAUGGGCGGCACGAUGGAGCGAUUGGUUAGACUGUCUACCUCUCAGUUCUGAGGACCGGGGUUCAAAUCCCGGCCACGCCUAUGUGUAGUUUGCAUGUUCUCCCCGUGCCUAUGUGGGUUUUAUCCGGGCACUCCGGUUUGCUUCCAUAUCCCCAAAACAUACAUUAAUUGGAGACUCUAAAUUGUCUUUAGGUGUGAUUGCGAGGGCGACUGGUGACUGGUUUGUUUCUGUGCGCUCUACGAUUGGCUGGCGACCACUCCAGAGUGUACCCUGCCUCCUGCCCAAAGAUUGCUGGAAUAGUAUACAGCACUCACGCGACCUUUGUGAGCAUAGGCGGCUCAGAUAAUGGAUGGAUGGAUGGAUAGUUAUUUGUAUUGCAGAACCGCGGGUCUGAGAGAAAUGCUAUUUCAGGUAUGUUGCACAUACAUAUAUAUGUAUAAAAGAUCUGACAAUAAUGUUACUUCAACUUGAACUUUCAGCUCCCUCCAGCUACUCGUGUCUUGUCCAGGUGUUCGUCGUUCUCUUUUUAGUAUGCUUGUAUUAGCUUCCCGGUUUCUUUCACCCGUCAAUGGAUCAUGGUUGUAUAUUUUCUGUUGCUGUAAGUCGUUUCCCAUGUCAUGAUUUUAGUUUUGGUGAGUUUAUCCUGCUUGUUUCUUUGUUCGUCUGAACCUUGAAUUUUGGACUUUGUUACUUUGUAUUUUUUUGGCCUCCAUGAUACUUGUUUGCCUUUGCCUUGUUUGUGAAAUUAAAUAUCUUGUUGACCUUCUUCCA